rnacentral:rRNA from 1 species
UACGGGAGGCAGCAGUCGGGAAUAUUGCGCAAUGGAGGAAACUCUGACGCAGUGACGCCGCGUAUAGGAUGAGGGUCUUCGGAUUGUAAACUAUUGUCGUUAGGGAAGAGAAAGGACAGUACCUAAGGAGGAAGCUCCGGCUAACUACGUGCCAGCAGCCGCGGUAAU